UCUAGAUUUUAGUUAGGGUUUCUUAUGAUUAUAAAUUUUGUGUUUGUGUUACUAUCUCACCUGAUUUGUCCCUAAAUUCCUAACCCCUUUCAAGUUGUAGAUGUUUUACACCCCCACUUUCGUGCUCUUUCUUUAAGUUGAUCGUCAAUCGCUUAUGGAAAUCCAUAUCGGCUUCGUAAGACCAACAGUUGAGGCUUCGUUUUUCAGAGUUGCUAUGUGAUUGAUUAGGAUUGAAGCAUUCAUGUCGAUUCAUUUGGAAUCUAUCUCACACGAAUCUUUUCAGUCUAAUUUAAGAUUUUUUUUUAAUUUUAGAUAUACGUCUAGAAACACCUGUUUACAACACGAUUAUUAGUGUAUUAAGGUCUAUUUGUUUUGUGGUUUGCUAUAACCAGAGAGACGUCAAUUAAGGCUUUGAAUAUGUCAUUAAUAUUACUUUUUUGUGUUCUUUCUCAGGCUUGUGAGUUUAAUUGCUCUUUUAAUUGAAGGUUCGUCAUUAGAAGAAAGAUUUGAUGGUUUCUUGAGAUCUAGGAUGGGGAAUUUAGCUACAGAAUUUGUCAAUCAGAAAAUGUUGUUUUGUUUCAGUUGGGUUCGUUCACUGGAUGUGGGUUUCGGGGAGAAGGAAGGAUUGAACCAGGGGUUCAUGUGCUGCUUAAAGAGGGGAAUACGGUCAAGAUUGGUGGUUCAAGUAGGGUUAAUAAGCUGCAUUGGGUCCCACGUAAUCAAGCGUAUGAUGUCGAUGAACAGUUUGUGUUAGCUGUUUAUCCAAUCAAAGGAGGAGGAGAAGAAGAAUUGAAUCAGGAGUUUACAUGAAGAAUACCCGUCCCAUGUUUUCAACUUUUCAAAACCACCAAGGAACGUUGUUGCAUGUUGUUAGUGAUCCUUGCUCAUGUUGGUGUAGUACAUAAAAAUUGCAGUUUCCACAACAUUAGCAGCAAACGAUUGCUCAGCAGCUUAGGCAAUCUCCAAUGACUGGAUCAGGGGAGAUUUGGUCUUCAACACGUAAACAUCAAGUGUCCAUUUUGUAGAUAGUUGGGGCGUUUUGGGUAUUUACCAUCCAUCGAGCGUAAUGAUACAUGUUAGCUUGUAAAUUUAGCGAUCAUGAUACAAUUCUACUGUGGAAAUACAUGCAUGGCAGGUUAUGAUGACUGGAGCAAUGUUGAUAGCUUGGUUUUGACCGAAAAUUGCAGGCCAGAUAUAACUUUUCUAUAAACAAGAACCUUCAGCAUAUGAUUCCCACUAGGCUGUAGUUUAUAAGGGAAAAGAUGCAUGUGGUCACACCAACUAUAGAGGUAACAAACAGACACCAUGUUUGUACCGGAAUGAUCCUUUGUUUCUUCACUUUUUGCAUAACAUAGAUUUGGAGUGCAUUUAGAAAUUUGAGCCAAAUUUGUUUUUCUUUAUGAAAAGAAAAUCUAGGCAAUUGCUUGCAAGUUGUAACAUUACU